ensembl:lncRNA
CAGUACUGAUCAACAUAGCUGACCUGAUGCAGAGGUGGACCAGUGAUGUUUUCCUCUCAGUGGGUUUUACUGCCCCUGGUGGAGACUGUAGCACACUGCAGUCCCUUUCAGGUCCACAGGGUUUUACUGCCCCCUGCUGGAGACUGGAGCACACUGCAGUCCCUUUCAGGUCCAUAGGGUUUUACUGCCCCCUGCUGGAGACUGGAGCACACUGCAGUCUCUGGCUUUCUUUGUGCAGCUUGAUGAUGAGGCCCUCAUCAAUACAGGUACUGUAUGUAGAACCAUAGUAAAGACCAGUAUGGACUAUCAAUACAGAUACUGUAUGUAGAACCAUAGUAAAGACCAGUAUGGACUAUCAAUACAGAUACUGUAUGUAGAACCAUAGUAAAGACCAGUAUGGACUAUCAAUACAGAUACUGUAUGUAGAACCAUAGU